UACGUAGGGUGCAAGCGUUAAUCGGAAUUACUAGGCGUAAAGCGUGCGCAGGCGGCUUUGCAAGACAGAUGUGAAAUCCCCGGGCUCAACCUGGGAACUGCAUUUGUGACUGCAAGGCUAGAGUACGGUAGAGGGGGAUGGAAUUCCGCGUGUAGCAGUGAAAUGCGUAGAUAUGCGGAGGAACACCGAUGGCGAAGGCAAUCCCCUGGACCUGUACUGACGCUCAUGCACGAAAGCGUGGGGAGCAAACAGG
rnacentral:rRNA from 1 species